UUUCUAAUGGAGUAUGAUGAGAGCGUAUACCUCUGUCCUUUUUUAUUUCUUCCAACUGCUUUUAAUGGUUGUUUUCUAUUAUAUUGUUGAUACUGAAUUACUGAUAAAAUAUGAGUAGAAAUUUCUCUUCUGCAUUCCUUUAGAGCCAUGGACGUAAAAAUAUAUAUAUAUUUUUCUUGGUCUCUUGGUCUCAACUUCUAAUAUUGAUGACUUUGUCUAUUCAUUGUCUUAUAAGUUGGAGCUGUAGUGGUCGGAUUUGAUCUAUAUGUCAACUACUUCAAAAUUCAAUACAAAGAUGCUAGGAAGACUUCGUUUAAGUCCUUAACUCCAUUAGAGUGUAUGAUGCAAGCUACCCAAAAACUCGGGAAGAUCAGAAAUGCUCAAGCUUCAAUGAAAUUUUUGAUUUUGCUUACAACUAUCUUAGUGGUACAAUACCAAAGGAAUGGGCUUCAAGCUUGCAGUGAUUUUGCUUACAACUAUCUUGGGAGAUGGUGCAAAUUGUAUUCUUUUUUAUUAUCAUGUAAAGCUCAUGAA